rnacentral:rRNA from 1 species
AGAGUUUGAUCAUGGCUCAGGAUGAACGCUGGCGGCGCGCUUAAGACAUGCAAGUCGAACGGACUUAACCGAAAUAUUUUAUAUUUUGGAGCGGUUAGUGGCGGACUGGUGAGUAACGCGUAAGCAAUCUGCCUAUUAGAGGGGAAUAACAGUGAGAAAUCACUGCUAAUACCGCAUAUGCCAUGAACAUCGCAUGAUGAAAA